CAAUAGCCAUGAUGUGAGUAAAAAGCCUUUUGGAGCAGAAUUGCCUAUUUUUGCUGAGAAAAAAGAGCGACAAAAAGAAGCUCCUUUUUUAUCUUGGAAAAAAGUAAUUGUGCAAAAAAGCUUGAAACGGACAGCAGGAAAUUGC
rnacentral:sRNA from 1 species